rnacentral:rRNA from 1 species
GAGGAAUAUUGGUCAAUGGGCGAGAGCCUGAACCAGCCAAGUCGCGUGAAGGAAGAAGGAUCUAUGGUUCGUAAACUUCUUUUUUAGGGGAAUAAAGUGCGGUACGUGUACCGUUUUGUAUGUACCCUACGAAUAAGGAUCGGCUAACUCCGUGCCAGCAGCCGCGGUAAUACGGAGGAUCCAAGCGUUAUCCGGAUUUAUUGGGUUUAAAGGGUGCGUAGGCGGACGUUUAAGUCAGUGGUGAAAGUUUGCAGCUCAACUGUAAAAUUGCCAUUGAAACUGAAUGUCUUGAGUGUAAAUGAGGUAGGCGGAAUGUGUUGUGUAGCGGUGAAAUGCUUAGAUAUGACACAGAACACCGAUUGCGAAGGCAGCUUACUAAGAUACAACUGACGCUGAGGCACGAAAGCGUGGGGAUCGAAC